rnacentral:rRNA from 1 species
UACGUAGGGUGCGAGCGUUGUCCGGAAUUACUGGGCGUAAAGAGCUCGUAGGCGGUUUGUCGCGUCGUCCGUGAAAACUUGGGGCUCAACCCCAAGCUUGCGGGCGAUACGGGCAGACUUGAGUACUGCAGGGGAGACUGGAAUUCCUGGUGUAGCGGUGAAAUGCGCAGAUAUCAGGAGGAACACCGGUGGCGAAGGCGGGUCUCUGGGCCGAUACUGACGCUGAGGAGCGAAAGCGUGGGGAGCGAACAGG